rnacentral:rRNA from 1 species
UACGGAGGGUGCGAACGUUAAUCGGAAUCACUGGGCGUAAAGCGCGCGUAGGCGGUCCGUUAAGUGGGAUGUGAAAUCCCCGGGCUUAACCUGGGAAUUGCAUUUCAAACUGCUUGGCUUGAGUCCGGGAGAGGUGAGUGGAAUUCCCAGUGUAGCGGUGAAAUGCGUAGAUAUUGGGAGGAACACCAGUGGCGAAGGCGGCUCACUGGACCGGAACUGACGCUGAGGCGCGAAAGCGUGGGGAGCAAACGGG